GUGUGUGCAUGCCUCAUCCCAUAUGGUGCAGUGGUAUGUGCAGCGAUUUCCAAUCAAGAGGUUGCGGGUUCGAUUCCCGACGAUUAUGGUCACACACGUCUUUCUUCUCUUUCUCGGACUCCUCCGGACUUUUCUUUCAUUCUCCUGGGUGGCUACCAACAGCCAGUGCAUGCCGAAGUAUGUGGUGUGGUGUGUGUGCGGGAUAAAAAUUAAAAAAGGCCAAAACGUAGGGGUUCACUGGCCAUAAAAAGCCACUUCAUAGCCGUGUGGUGUAGACCAGGCUGAAUAGUGGCGGUCAAUUCUUCAGCCUUGCAAGCUGUUGAAUGUUGCAAUCCAAGCGCAAGUUGCUAUGUCUUCUGCAGUAGCAUCGCUAUCAUUGCCUCCGGCGAUGGGCUUCACAGUCAAAUGGUGUGUGCGUGUGUGUGUGCGUGUAUCGUUGGUUCCGGAGCCACAGUGGCUUGGCUGUGCACCGUUGCUAUGCUUCUAGCUCCUGCCCAGCACCGAUUGCGUCAGCUGCUGCUGCUGCCACCGUUGAUACUGCCGCUCAAAGUUGCUGCAGUGCUUACUGCAGCAUCUGCAAUCGUUGUUUCCGCUCAGCCCAGGGACGCAGCCAACGUCGCUGUUCAAGGCACUGCCACCGUCCAACGGCUAGAGAACGGGACAAGUUCCAGCAUAUUUGUAUCUGCUCUCGCCGGUUCCGACUAGUCUCGCAUCUGGAGCGCCAUCAGGUGACGUGCUCCUUCUCUCUCUCUCUGCUGCCCCUCCGCGGCCCACGUGACCCUAGUGGUAGUGGCUCUACAGGGCAGGUGGAUGUGUGUGUGUGUGUGCAUGCGUAUGUAUUUGUGUGCAUUAUUUCACAUCAUUCACUGUAUUUGAUGGUGUCAUACUUUCAGAUUGGUGUCAUGGCCAUGAUUCCGUCAAAGGAGGCUCGGGAGCUCAUGUAUCGCAUGCCCAGGGCUCACUUUGUUCCUCUGCGGGCAAGUUGAGCGUCUCAGCUUCCUUGGACCAAGACCAUUCGACUCAGCACCCGGAAGACUACAACUGGUGACAAAUUGAUCUUAAGGAGGUACACCGUACACCGGACCAUGCUAUCCAGGACAUUCUUUUCUCUGAUAAUAAAGAGCAUUUGAGACAGCCAUGCUUGCAGUUUGCCAUCAAGACGAGCACAUGGCCGCUGCCCUGCUGAUUCCGCUACCGCCCUGCUCGCCGCCCUCGUCGCCUCCUCCUCUGCCCCAAUCACCGCCACCCCAUCCAAACUGUGCGAUGUUAGAGCCGUGGGAUGUUUCCCCAUGGGGUCGCCGCCACAAUUUGCCGACUGGGUGCGACAAGCGCCAUCGCCGCCGUCGCCUCGGACGUCGGUGCUUCCGCCAGCACCACCGGCGCCCGGAAUCAUCAGGCCCUCGCGCCUGGAUGCCGCGCGUCGACAACUCGACUUGGCACCACGCCCUCCCUCGACGGAGGAACUGGUCCCGGCAAUCCGCCAACGCCUCACCAUCCGAACGUAUCAACCACCGCGACGACACAAUACAUGCAACCUCCGACAACUACGACCACGCCCGCAACCACGAGUCCACGACCAUGACCACGACCGAUACGCCCUACUCGACACCGCAACAUAUCUCUGGAAGGAUGGCAAAGGGGGAUUGCGCAACAUAUCUCAAGCACACUAGCACUAGCAGGACAAUAUCCAAAUCCAUGUAUCUCCAUGACCGCUUUGUGUCCUCUGUUCAUUUGAACUAUUCACACUGACUUACUGCAGGAGAACCAUGAUACCCGCGCAUCAUGUUAUAAUGAUCUGCAAACCAAGAUCAAUCCAGUACACAUUGUGUCUACUCCCCCUCCCAUCUACAAAAGCUGCAGUUCAUAUCAGCUGGCAUCUUUAAAAUUGUCAUUUCGCAUUUUUCUCUCCAUUAUCACCUGCUGCAACUAUGCCUGACCACUCUGCUUUCCUGCCAUGGAUAGGUAUAAACGAUUGCCAGUGGAUUGAGCUUUGGUGGCAACGUUUCCCUGGUCCAGGGCCUGUGGGUGACAGAUAGAACCAAGUUACGCCGGA